rnacentral:rRNA from 1 species
AGCGAACGCUGGCGGUAGGCCUAACACAUGCAAGUCGAACGGCAGCACAGUAAUAGCUUGCUCUUACGGGUGGCGAGUGGCGGACGGGUGAGGAAUACAUCGGAAUCUACUUUUUCGUGGGGGAUAACGUAUGGGAACAAACGCUAAUACCGCAUACGACCUACGGGUGAAAUCAGGCGAUCUUCUGACCUUACGCGAUUGAAUGAGCCGAUGUCGGAUUAGCUAGGUGGCGGGGUAAAGGCCCACCAAGGCGACUAUCCGUAGCUGGUCUGAGAGGAUGAUCAGCCACACUGGAACUGAGACACGGUCCAGACUCCUACGGGAGGCAGCAGUGGGGAAUAUUGGACAAUGGGCGCAAGCCUGAUCCAGCCAUACCGCGUGGGUGAAGAAGGCCUUCGGGUUGUAAAGCCCUUUUGUUGGGAAAGAAAAGCAGCAGGUUAAUACCCCGCUGUUCUGACGGUACCCAAAGAAUAAGCACCGGCUAACUUCGUG